GAGUAGCAGAGUGUUCACAAUACAUUGGUGGCAAAAUAUUUCAAUCGAAUGGCCGAAGAAUUAUUGUUUGGUCCGAGAUACAGCAUAAGAUAGAAAACGACAAUCUUCUGCAAUUGUGAGUAUUUCGUUUUCGACAAAAGCAUAAAAAUAAUUCUAAUCCUAAUUGUACUAAUCGCCGAGAACUUCACUCGUCAGUCAGUCAAAGUAGGCGUCGAGAGUAACAUAACCAGAAAUCUGGCAACGAAAAUUAAAUCACUGUGAAAAAUUAAAUGCAAAAAAAGAAAUCUAAGGCAGGUCAGUCGAUUUGAGCUUCAGAACUCACAUAAUGGCACGAUCCACGGAGACGAAUGCUGAGUACGAUUUGUUCAUUAGAACCACUGCGCCAUUGUGCACCAGCACACCAAUAAUCGACUGCGGCAAUUCAAGUUUCAUGGAGAAACUGAUGGACGCGCUGAGAAAUUCACCGGCCGAUCCGGUUAAAGGCGUCUCGGUGAUCCGCAUAAAAAAGUAUUUAAAAAACACAUAUAAUAUUAGGGAUCAAGAUAUGAAACCCCAAUUAAAAACCGCUUUGGAGGAUGCAAUAUUGAAAAACAUCGUUUUAAAAACAACCGGAAAAGGCAUCCUCCAAGGAUCUGUUAAAUUAAACGAGAAUUGCGAACGAGGUACACCUACUGGUAGCAAAUAAGCAUUUGACAGAGCUGAACAUUCUAAAUAUUUUAUUUGUGGAAUAAAUUUUAUUGUUUUCGACAUCUUUCA